AUUUUUUUUUCUUGCUGUUUCACUCCAAAAAAUGUCAUUUCGUGAUUUCACUUCUUCCUUUCUAUUACUUAACUUCAUCAAGAAAUUGAACGUAUAUACAUAAUCUUUCUCAAGCAACAACUGAUAUAUUCUGAUUACAAGGAGUGGAAAACCUGGUAAGUCUGCAUCCUAAUACUUCCGUUAUUUACAAAUUACAGAUGUCGCACGAGUGUUUACUUUUUCUCAAAUUCCUAUUUAGU
rnacentral:misc_RNA from 1 species